GUUGACUACAGCACAGCGGCAGAAGUCAUGAUGUGCGGACGGCUCGGUGAUCGGAGCCAGCGCUGCCGGUGCGCUGCUCGCUGUCGCGUGCGCGGCCACCUUCCACGGCUUCACUGCCUUACUCUUCUUGUGUGCAGCUCUAAGCCUCCUCCUACCAGGUGCGCAGAAAUCUUCUCCCAGUGCCGCCCAAUCUGAAGCCGAAAGUUGACCUUUCCGCCAUCUAGCGUGGGUGUUAAGAUAACUUUACAGGACUGCUCUUGAGCAGAUACUUAAUAGACAGAGGAACUUUUUUCUUAGCCGCUUUAACGAGUUGGCUGACAGUAUGUCGACAGGCGGGGUACUUGUAGACUUAUAACGGCUCUUAUUGUAAGCGAACGCGUUGAAUUAAAAUAAAAUAUUAACAAAUACUUAACACUUUGCACCUUUUGAGCAGGGUCUCUAUUGUUUUCAAUAAAGUUUUGAGUCAUAAUAUAGUGUUUGUCCGCAUUUUCGUUAGUCAUAAUUUGGUUUUUCUCAGAAACGCGUAACUUUUCAGGAUUGCCAUAAAAACAAACCUAACCUAACCUAUCUAUAGGAUAACCUGAAGUAAAUUCUGAGAAGUUAACAGUUUCAGAAUUAUGACUAAUGAUAAUCUGACAAUCAUUACAUUAUGACUUUCAAUAAUUCUAUCAAACUAAGGGGAAAGGGAAAAGCUUUAAGCAGGGAUUUAAAAACUAGGUACUUUUUCGGGACCUCGAUGCAAGAUUUCAGAACAAACUUUGCGCUGUAUCAUAUCAUAAGUAUACAGGGUGACCUUAGCCAUUGGACAAACCCUGAAAUCCCACGUAGGGUUACUUCUCAGGAAUGCUCUGACGUUAAUAUUUUUUAAAUUAGAACAAAAGAUAAAAAAAUAUUUUUUUCGAACAAAAGUUAUUUGCAAUAAUCGACAACAAAAAGAAACACACUGUGUUAGGAUCUUUGGCAGUGUUUUUGACCAUUUUUUCGAAAUAUUUGAUAAUGAUGACAUUUUUCAAAAGUCAGAAGCUUAUUAGUGUCAUAAAUAAAAAUAAUAAUCAAAAAGGUCGAAGAAGGUUCCAUACUAUUCUUUUAGGAUAUUAUCUUAGGAGCUACUAACACAUACAGGCCGCUCAAAAGUAAAAAAUGGUAAUUUGUUAAUUCUUUCGAAACCGCUACACUGGUUGUUAUGAUACUUUGUACACUGGUUCUAAAUACCCUAAUGCAUAUGUACAUUUCGGCUUUGUCCAAUGGAUAGGGACACACUGUAUAUUCAAUGAAUAUAUUAUAAUUUCAAAUAUAAUUAGGUACUAAAACAUACUAAAGUAAAUAGUAAUAUAAUGUUUUAUAUAAUAAUAUAAUAUAAUUAUUAUAUUUCAGAAAUCAUUAUUUUUUCUUUGUAUGUAAAUAAGUUAAAGUGUAAUAUUAAGUUAAAAGUGUAUAUAAUAUGCCAGGAACUCCAUAAUUUAGACAAUUAUACUGUAAAUUAAUAAUUAUGAAGGUAAAUACAGUAAGUGUGCAUAUAGACGUAACCGAAGUGGAGUUAAGUUAACCCCACUAAUUUAGGUAGGUACUGUAUUAAAAUUGAAAUGGUUUAAAAUCCGUCUAUGCUGCCACUGCCCCAACUGGCCUUGACAAAGGGUGGCAUUGCCACUAUAAUCUAAAUUUUCCUUGGUUUUGACAUUUUAAAAGGCAUUCCACACUCUGCCGACUAGUCGGCGCAGAGGGCCUAGCCGAGAUGCCAAUCGUUUGCGUAGCGAACGAAACGCUAAUGUCUCUCUCACUCUUCCAUGUGCGACAGAGAGUCGAGUGUGUUUCGUUAGCUACGGCGCGAACGGUUGGCAUCUUGCUAUACCCCAGAGUUCAAUGGACUUUACCCUUAGGAAUGACGAUGUAACGGUAUGUAAUUUUAUAUUAUCAAUAAAUUAUUAUGACAUUUUUCUGUAUAAAAACAAAACUCUCGCUAUCUAUAUGUGCUUACCAUAAACACUAAGGAUAAAUAAUCUUACUGCUCUCUAGAAACAAAACCAUCAAUAUAGCUAAACAGUCUCACUUUAUACCAAAACCAAAAAUGAAUAAAACUGUGACACAAAUAUUAAUAAGAUGGCUUCAUUUGAAAUCAUUACUUUUCCGUCAUAGUUUUUUUUUUAAAUAUAAUUGGAUUAGUUUUUCAAGUAUAGAGUAGAAUAUUUUUUCUAAGAAGAAAUAUAUGCAGUUCAUCAAACGAAUAGCAUAAAUAUACUUAUUUAUUAUUUAUACGUUUUAUAAAACUGGAAAGCAAGGGCUUAAUACUAUUUGACUCUACUAAUAAUCAAGUUGAAACCAUACGCUAAAAAACGAUUUAAUACUUAGAAUAAAAUAAAUUGAUAAAACCUAUGUUAAUAUCAUAUACAGUGGGACCUCAGUAGCACGAAUCUCAAGGGGAACGUCAAAAAGUUGGUGUUAGUUAACGACUUUCCGUCUCAUACUUAGAGAGGUUCUUAUCAGUUUUUGUUCAUCUUAGAGAGGUAUCGAGUUAGAGGUUAAACAAUUCAUAAAAGGUAAUUAUACAAACGCGAAAGUACCUAAUGUAAAGGUUGUGUUCUUUGAGUUACGGAGGUUAGCUACAUAGUUAGUCAAUACUUAACUUCGAUAUAUAGAGGUGAUAAAACAAUACUACAAUUUUUCAAGUAGGUCAAAAUUAAAUUUCGAGUCAUAACUCCAUAGAGACGAAAAAAAUGAUUGGACAAUCACGAAGUACCACCCCUUACCGCAUGUAAUAAAAAAUAUUUGUUGAAAUUGAACUUUAAUAGUUGCCAAUAGAGUUGAAUAUCAUAAUAUAUGGCUUUGUAUGCAGUAAAGGGUUAAGAAGGCAGAAUAUUAAGACUUAUGGAGGCUUUUAAAGGAAGGGAACAAACGACAUGUUAUUUUGCGUCAACGAGGAUUUCGCCUUAUCGAGGUUCGACUUAUCGAGGUUUCACUGUGCUAGUAACGUAAUACCUUCAGUAGGCCUAGUAGACCGCGAGCCAGAAACAGGUUUCCAUAACCAAUCGCCUCCCGGACGAAAACUUGUAUGUAUAGUGGUUAACGGCCAUGUAUGAUGAACCCUCGUGGACGUCAGCUGCCACUCCGUCGGUGGGUUGAGGAAAGGUAGCCACCGAAACACGUAAAAAAAAUGUUCAUCGCCUCCCGUUUGAUACUUUGUCAGAUGACACUUCAGAUGCUAUUGUUAGUUUAAAAAAUCGGCAGCCGGUUGUAUCGCGGUGGUAAGAACGUCAGCUGGUCGCAUGAAUAUAAAAAAAAUAAGCGCUUUAUCAUUUUAUGAAAGCAAUAACAAAUCAUGAAUGUUUGCAUGUAGCAUUUCAUCAGGUGAAACGCCUGAAACGCCAUAAACGGAUUACGCAAUUUACAUUUUUGUUUAUUUUUUAUUUAUUUCGGAUAUUUUUAUUUAAUUUAAUUUUAAUGUUUAAAAAUUUUAUUUAACGUACAGUGUAUGAUUAAUACCAAAUAAAAUCUAUCUCUCUACACAUCACGCUUACUUUGCGGACAUAAAGUUGUAAGGCGCGUAUUUUUUACAUCUGACGGUCUUUCCAACGGGAGACAACCGGCUGACGGUUUUUUUUAUAUUUAAAACAGAUUAUCAGCCGGGAGGCGAUGACUGACGAAAUAUGCUCCUGGCUCGCGACUUCACACUUCGUAACGAAAUGCGACGGCAGUGAUAAGCGCCUAUAGAGUGACUGUUUUCUAGAUAUUAUAGAGAAUGAGAUCAUCCGUUGUAAUUAAGUGUUAUCAGCGUUCUAGUCCUGUAAAUUAGAAUAUGUAAUAAAUAUAAUUAUGUGAUAAGAUUAAACAUCUAUUUUUGUGUUCCAAAACACCAAUACGUUUAAUCCGAGAAACUGUAAUUCUGUCAGUUCUGAUGUAAUAUCAAUUUUUUUUUUUUUAUCUAAAUUCAAACGGUACAUUAUUCCGCUAAAACCUUAUUUAAGUGUUUUUUUUUUUGUUUUAAAUAAAUAAUCUGCAUAAUA